UACGUAGGGGGCGAGCGUUGUCCGGAUUUACUGGGCGUAAAGCGCGCGCAGGCGGUUCGUUAAGUCCGUUGUGAAAGCUCCCGGCUCAACUGGGAGAGGUCUUCGGAAACUGGCGGACUCGAGGGAGGCAGAGGAAGGUGGAAUUCCCGGUGUAGCGGUGAAAUGCGCAGAUAUCAGGAGGAACACCGGUGGCGAAGGCGGGUCUCUGGGCAACAACUGACGCUGAGGAGCGAAAGCGUGGGGAGCGAACAGG
rnacentral:rRNA from 1 species